UCCCCAGUGGCUCAGAUGGUAAAGUAUCUGCCCGAAAUGCAGGAGACCCAGGUUUGAUCCCUGGGUCGAGAA
rnacentral:tRNA from 1 species